GCAGAGCUUCGCUUUGUGAGGCCAGUUGUCGUUGCGACACAUCCCUCUACGAUGAAAUUGCGCUUUGGUAUUCUGUUUGCUGUGCUGGCAGCAAUCUGCAUGGCUGUCGUCGAGUGCUCAACACCCAGUCCAUUCAAGCAGUACCCGGGAGGACCCAAGAAGCCGCCCGUUCGCGUUAACAUUCGUGGUGGUAAUCCUGGCUAAAACACCUGCUGUGGAGCCCAGCCUACAUUGCAAGGAUAUGGGGACACCGCUCCUGAACUAGUUACCUUUCCGAAGUCAAUAAAACGCUGAGAGACUCCUUCUAA